rnacentral:rRNA from 1 species
GCGUGCGGGAAGAAGGCCUUCGGGUUGUAAACCGCUUUCAUACGGAACGAAAUGGUGCCGGUUAAUACCCGGUAUUGAUGACGGUACCGUAAGAAGAAGCACCGGCUAACUACGUGCCAGCAGCCGCGGUAAUACGUAGGGUGCGAGCGUUAAUCGGAAUUACUGGGCGUAAAGCGUGCGCAGGCGGCUCUUUAAGACAGGUGUGAAAUCCCCGGGCUUAACCUGGGAAUUGCGCUUGUGACUGGAGGGCUUGAGUGCGGCAGAGGGGGAUGGAAUUCCUGGUGUAGCAGUGAAAUGCGU